rnacentral:misc_RNA from 1 species
GGUCAAUUGACCCAUCUUUUUAUGUAUUAUAUCCGGCACUGAUUAUGGAGAAAAUAUAAUAUCCAAAUGAUGGUGAAAAUAUCUCCUUUUGGGAAUGAAUAUGACCUGGAAAUUAUAAGUGAUUCUAUGUUCUAAUAAUAUGCAAGCAAAUUCCAAAUAUGAACUCUGAUUUGUCUUCAUUGAUAUUUGGACCUAUCUUUGAAUAUUUUGAUGCAAGGUUAUGAAUGAUAAAAUUUGUUAAGUAUGUGCCAUCCAACAAAUUUUGUGAGCAGGAUUUUUAUGGGAUAAAAUCACUUUUACCAACUUGUUGGUCACUAGACCAGCUCAUCCUAGUUUACCUGUUGAAAUCUUGCAUAUAAUGUUGUUCAUUUGACCUUCUUUUCCUUCAA